rnacentral:rRNA from 1 species
UGUGGCCGCCAGUCUUCGCCGUGUAAAGCCCCUUCGACGAGUCGAGUUGUUUGGGAAUGCAGCUCUAAAUGGGAGGUAAAUUUCUUCUAAAGCUAAAUAUUGGCCAGAGACCGAUAGCGCACAAGUAGAGUGAUCGAAAGAUGAAAAGCACUUUGGAAAGAGAGUCAAAAAGCACGUGAAAUUGUUGAAAGGGAAGCGCUUGCAGCCAGACUUGCUUGCAGUUGUUCAGCCGGGCUCUUGCCCGGUCUACUCUUCUGCUCGCAGGCCAGCAUCAGUCCGGGCGGUUGGAUAAAGGCCUAUUAAACGUACCUCCCCUCGGGGAGGACUUAUAGGGUAGGCGACAUGCAACCAGCCCGGAUUGAGGUCCGCGGAUGCUG